rnacentral:rRNA from 2 species
GACGGAGGGGGCUAGCGUUGUUCGGAAUGACUGGGCGUAAAGGGUGCGUAGGCGGUUUUUUAAGUGAGGCGUGAAAGCCCUGGGCUUAACCCAGGAAUUGCGUUUCAGACUGGAAGGCUUGAGUACGAGAGAGGUAAGUGGAAUUCCUAGUGUAGAGGUGAAAUUCGUAGAUAUUAGGAAGAACACCAGUGGCGAAGGCGGCUUACUGGCUCGUAACUGACGCUGAGGCACGAAAGCGUGGGGAGCAAACAGG